rnacentral:rRNA from 1 species
GGCGGCGUGCUUAACACAUGCAAGUCGAACGAUGAACCUCUUCGGAGGGGAUUAGUGGCGAACGGGUGAGUAACACGUGGGCAAUCUGCCCUUCACUCUGGGACAAGCCCUGGAAACGGGGUCUAAUACCGGAUAACACCGGCCUCCGCAUGGGGGCUGGUUGAAAGCUCCGGCGGUGAAGGAUGAGCCCGCGGCCUAUCAGCUUGUUGGUGGGGUAAUGGCCUACCAAGGCGACGACGGGUAGCCGGCCUGAGAGGGCGACCGGCCACACUGGGACUGAGACACGGCCCAGACUCCUACGGGAGGCAGCAGUGGGGAAUAUUGCACAAUGGGCGAAAGCCUGAUGCAGCGACGCCGCGUGAGGGAUGACGGCCUUCGGGUUGUAAACCUCUUUCAGCAGGGAAGAAGCGAAAGUGACGGUACCUGCAGAAGAAGCGCCGGCUAACUACGUGCCAGCAGCCGCGGUAAUACGUAGGGCGCAAGCGUUGUCCGGAAUUAUUGGGCGUAAAGAGCUCGUAGGCGGCUUGUCACGUCGGAUGUGAAAGCCCGGGGCUUAACCCCGGGUCUGCAUUCGAUACGGGCAGGCUAGAGUGUGGUAGGGGAGAUCGGAAUUCCUGGUGUAGCGGUGAAAUGCGCAGAUAUCAGGAGGAACACCGGUGGCGAAGGCGGAUCUCUGGGCCAUUACUGACGCUGAGGAGCGAAAGCGUGGGGAGCGAACAGGAUUAGAUACCCUGGUAGUCCACGCCGUAAACGUUGGGAACUAGGUGUUGGCGACAUUCCACGUCGUCGGUGCCGCAGCUAACGCAUUAAGUUCCCCGCCUGGGGAGUACGGCCGC